rnacentral:rRNA from 1 species
GACGAACGCUGGCGGCGUGCUUAACACAUGCAAGUCGAACGCGCCUGUCCUCUGGGUUUCUGGGGGGUGGGUGAGUGGCGAACGGGUGAGUAACACGUGAGUAACCUGCCCCCUUCUUCGGGAUAACGGUCUGAAAGGGCUGCUAAUACCGGGUAUUCACUGGUCUCCGCAUGGGGUCUGGUGGAAAGGUUUUUUUCUGGUGGGGGAUGGGCUCGCGGCCUAUCAGCUUGUUGGUGGGGUGAUGGCCCACCAAGGCUUUGACGGGUAGCCGGCCUGAGAGGGUGACCGGUCACAUUGGGACUGAGAUACGGCCCAGACUCCUACGGGAGGCAGCAGUGGGGAAUAUUGCACAAUGGGCGCAAGCCUGAUGCAGCGACGCCGCGGGAGGGAUGGAGGCCUUCGGGUUGUGAACCUCUUUCGCCCGUGGUCAAGCCGCGACGUGGGUCGUGGUGAGGGUAGUGGGUAAAGAAGCGCCGGCUAACUACGUG